AUGUGCUCCCCUGCCCGAGCAGCCUCCACGCCGACCCCAUCGCCCUCCUCCCAUGCUUCCGGCGCUGCCGCAAUCAGCAGCACCACCGGAGUUCCCCUCGCCGUCGGGCACCACCACCAGCGCCGGUCGCCGCCGUCCCGUUCAUAUUCCAGCGAGGCGAGGAACCGAGCUCCAUCCGCCGCAGCGCCCUGCAUCGCCCGAAGCCGCCCCUGUGCUCCCGUCGAACCUGCAGCCAACACCUCGUUCUACAGCCAUGGCGCCGCCGGCCUCUCUCGCGCCGCUGUGCCUCCUCUUCAUCAAACCAGAAGGUUCACGUCGUGA
rnacentral:rRNA from 1 species